rnacentral:rRNA from 1 species
ACUAGAUUACUAGAGUCUAAGAGAGGCCACUGGAAUCUCUGUUGUAGGGGUUAAAAUCCGUAGAUAACAGAGGGAACACCAAAAGCGAAGGCAGGUGGCUGGCUUAGUACUGACGCUCAGAGACGAAAGCGUGGGUAGCGAACGGGAUUAGAUACCCCGGUAGUCCACGCCGUAAACGAUGAGUGCUAGGUAUUGGAGGGAUUCGACCCCCUUCAGUGCCCACAGCUAACGCGUUAAGCACUCCGCCUGGGGAGUACGGUCGCAAGACUAAAACUCAAAGGAAUAGACGGGGACCCGCACAAGCGGUGGAUCAUGUGGUUUAAUUCGAUGAUAAGCGAGAAACCUCACCUAGACUUGACAUCUCGAGAAAGUUCUAGAAAUAGAACCGUGCCUUUUGGAACUCGAUGACAGGUGCUGCAUGGUUGUCGUCAGCUCGUGCCCUGAGGUGUUCGGUUAAGUCCGUAAACGAGCGCAACCCUUGUCAUAUGUUGUAUUUCUCAUAUGAAACUGCCGGCUCCAAGCCGGAGGAAGGUAGGGAUGACGUCAAAUCAGCAUGGCCCUUAUGUCUAGGGCUACACACGUGAUACAAUGGGUCGUACAAUGGGUAGCCAAGGAGCAAUCCGGAGCCAAUCCCUAAAACGAUCCUCAGUUCGGAUUGAGGUCUGCAACUCGACCUCAUGAAGUUGGAAUCGCUAGUAACCGUGGAUCAUUACGCCACGGUGAAUAUGUUCCCGGGUCUUGUACUCACCGCCCGUCACAUCAUGGAAGAUGG